rnacentral:lncRNA from 1 species
UCCUUUAUGUGAUUAAAUGUGAUGUGUUGCAUUUCAUGAAAGCAUGUAAAGUAAAAGUUAUGUCAUUUAAAUGUUAUUAAUAAAAUGAAUAAUAAUAUACCUAAAAAGUGUGGAAUUAAAGCAAAUGAUAAUAAUAAUAAAAUGAAGAAUAAAAUACCUAAAAAGGGAGGAAUUAAUAUCAUGUCUUUACUUUUUACUCACUGGGCUUUUUAGCUCACCCCUCUCCCCUAACCCCAGUCUUGCAGGUACCGUGUAGAUAGAGAAGUCAGAAGAGUAAGAGAAGUUCAUGUAAUAGCAUAGCUGUGGACAUGGUUUAUUCAUAAUGUAAAAGUAUGUUAUGUUAUGUAAUGUAAGUUUUAUAGUGUGCUUGACUAGAGUCUGUUGUAAUCCCUUAAAUACAUGAGAUAAAUGUUUUAUGAUGUUUAUGUAACCUAAGCCUGCUAUAUGUUAUGUACCCCAUUGGAGUAUUUGUUGAGGACUCCAAUGAGGGGUUUAUGUUAUGUUUAUGCAUGCACAGGCUGAACUGGGUAAAGAAAUGUUUGAAUGAAAGAAAAGUUUUAAUUUUUAUGUAUGUUUUGG